GCGAACGGGUGAGUAACACGUGAGCAAUCUGCCCCUGACUCUGGGAUAAGCGCUGGAAACGGCGUCUAAUACCGGAUACGAGCUGCGAAGGCAUCUUCAGCAGCUGGAAAGAACUUCGGUCAGGGAUGAGCUCGCGGCCUAUCAGCUAGUUGGUGAGGUAACGGCUCACCAAGGCGUCGACGGGUAGCCGGCCUGAGAGGGUGACCGGCCACACUGGGACUGAGACACGGCCCAGACUCCUACGGGAGGCAGCANUGGGGAAUAUUGCACAAUGGGCGCAAGCCUGAUGCAGCAACGCCGCGUGAGGGACGACGGCCUUCGGGUUGUAAACCUCUUUUAGCAGGGAAGAAGCGAAAGUGACGGUACCUGCAGAAAAAGCGCCGGCUAACUACGUGCCAGCAGCCGCGGUAAUACGUAGGGCGCAAGCGUUAUCCGGAAUUAUUGGGCGUAAAGAGCUCGUAGGCGGUCUGUCGCGUCUGCUGUGAAAACCCGAGGCUCAACCUCGGGCCUGCAGUGGGUACGGGCAGACUANAGUGCGGUAGGGGAGAUUGGAAUUCCUGGUGUANCGGUGGAAUGCGCAGAUAUCAGGAGGAACACCGAUGGCGAAGGCAGAUCUCUGGGCCGUAACUGACGCUGAGGAGCGAAAGGGUGGGGAGCAAACAGGCUUANAUACCCUGGUAGUCCACCCCGUAAACGUUGGGAACUANUUGUGGGGACCUUUCCACGGUUUCCGUGAC
rnacentral:rRNA from 1 species